CUACGGGAUGCAGCAGUGGGGAAUAUUGCACAAUGGGCGCAAGCCUGAUGCAGCCAUGCCGCGUGUAUGAAGAAGGCCUUCGGGUUGUAAAGUACUUUCAGCGGGGAGGAAGGGAGUAAAGUUAAUACCUUUGCUCAUUGACGUUACCCGCAGAAGAAGCACCGGCUAACUCCGUGCCAGCAGCCGCGGUAAUACGGAGGGUGCAAGCGUUAAUCGGAAUUACUGGGCGUAAAGCGCACGCAGGCGGUUUGUUAAGUCAGAGGUGAAAUCCCCGGGCUCAACCUGGGAACUGCAUCUGAUACUGGCAAGCUUGAGUCUCGUAGAGGGGGGUAGAAUUCCAGGUGUAGCGGUGAAAUGCGUAGAGAUCUGGAGGAAUACCGGUGGCGAAGGCGGCCCCCUGGACGAAGACUGACGCUCAGGUGCGAAAGCGUGGGGAGCAAACAGGAUUAGAUACCCCCGUAGUC
rnacentral:rRNA from 1 species